rfam:Methylibium sp. NZG contig_1, whole genome shotgun sequence.
UGUCUCCUCCACCUCCUCCAUUGGUGGAUUCAGCCCAAGACAGCGAUGUCUUGGGCUUUUUUCU